rnacentral:rRNA from 1 species
GGUAGGGGGAUAACUACUGGAAACGGUAGCUAAUACCGCAUGACCUCGAAAGAGCAAAGUGGGGGAUCUUCGGACCUCACGCCAUCGGAUGUGCCCAGAUGGGAUUAGCUAGUAGGUGAGGUAAUGGCUCACCUAGGCGACGAUCCCUAGCUGGUCUGAGAGGAUGACCAGCCACACUGGAACUGAGACACGGUCCAGACUCCUACGGGAGGCAGCAGUGGGGAAUAUUGCACAAUGGGCGCAAGCCUGAUGCAGCCAUGCCGCGUGUGUGAAGAAGGCCUUAGGGUUGUAAAGCACUUUCAGCGAGGAGGAAGGCAUCAUACUUAAUACGUGUGGUGAUUGACGUUACUCGCAGAAGAAGCACCGGCUAACUCCGUGCCAGCAGCCGCGGUAAUACGGAGGGUGCAAGCGUUAAUCGGAAUUACUGGGCGUAAAGCGCACGCAGGCGGUUUGUUAAGUCAGAUGUGAAAUCCCCGAGCUUAACUUGGGAACUGCAUUUGAAACUGGCAAGCUAGAGUCGUGUAGAGGGGGGGUAGAAUUCCAGGUGUAGCGGUGAAAUGCGUAGAGAUCUGGAGGAAUACCGGUGGCGAAGCGGCCCCCUGGACAAAGACUGACGCUCAGGUGCGAAAGCGUGGGGAGCAAACAGGAUUA